AUGGCCAGCCAAUCAGAAGUUCCAACUGAAACCUCAGUUUGCACAAACUCCCUCUCCUCCACAGAGCGCCUCCCCUCCUCUGGCAGGGAGGAGGGCUUGGGAGAAAGAGAGAAAGACGGUGCCGGUGGAAGGACACUCUGAGGAAGAGAAGAGGGCAAACGAAGAAACUGAGGCCCAAGAAGGGCUGGAAUUCCCUCCCACAUUCCUCAAGGACGCGUCUGGGCCACUGUACCCUUCUGGUGCUCAGCACAGGCCUGGCGCAGGGCAGACAGUAGCAAGGAUAGCUCCAGACCCGCUGUGGUAAAGAGGGGGUGCCUGGGGCAAGCUCACUGUUUGCUGGCGGGGUUCCCUGAGAGCCCCUCCACCAAAGGGACAGCGUGAUUCACCUCAUCUCGCACUGCCAGGAAGACAGCAGGGUGCCAGAAAGAGACCACGUUGACAGAAGAUGGCUGGACUCCAGCUCUGCAAAAACCCAGACCUCCAGACCCCUCCUUGCUGGGUGCAAGGGCUUCUACUUGAGGAAUCUGGUCAGGACCACACGCCUCCUGCCAAAAAUGUCCAACUGGUCCCAGAGGAAAUCACUGGACAAGAGCACAAAGAUGUGUGUACAAGGAUGUUCAUCGCAGAAUUGUUUGUAAGAGCGAAGGAUUGGAAACAACCCAAAUGUCCGACAGUGGGGGCUGGUUAAAUGAAUUAUGGACCAG